rnacentral:siRNA from 1 species
AGUCAAACGAUCAGAUGUUUA